UGUUAUUGCCAUUUUUGUCAGGUCCAUGA
rnacentral:piRNA from 1 species